ensembl:lncRNA
GUGAGCGGGAAAACGCGGCGCGGAGCCGGGAACUGCGCCCCCGCCCCCUCCCGCAGGGGAAGCGGCGCCGAGGGGCGGUUGCUGCCUCCCCCUUCGCAGGCGGACGGGAGCGAGGGCAGCCGCAAAAGGCGAAGUUUGGGGAAAACUUUUCCCCCGCCUCGAGGUAGAGGGCCUGGGGUCGCGGCUCGGCCCCGCCUGAUGGGACGGGGCCCGUGGCGGCAGAUAAGUCCUGAUGCAUGCUGGAAGAAGUGUGUGCUUCAGCACUGAUUAAAGUAAUGUAGGAGUUAAUGAGAAGCUUGCAGAGUAUGUGAAGCAAGAGAAAAUCUUUAACCAGCUCUGCUGUUCCCUCUACAUAGCACAAACUUGAGUCUUUGGGAUGUCCGUGUCUCUGAUGUUUUUGUACAAGGAAUAGAGUGAUGUAUUUGAGGGGAAAUUUUGAGAAAUGUUGGGUGUUCCCAGAACUGUCACCAUUUGCUCAGCUUAGCUUUGCACCCUUCCCACCUGUCUUCAACUAGGUUUGUGUAAAUGCAAUCACUUUGUGUCCACUGUCUCUGGAUAGUACUACUUCAGCAUCUAUUUCUGCAGUGUUUGUGACCUCCUGUUAGUCAGGGAGGUCUUCACUGUAAUUUUCCCUCCUGUUAUUUUGCUUCUUUUGCAGCCUGAUGUUUUUGCUGUUGUUUUAUAUUCCCAGCAAGCAUCUUGUGAAUGCUUCAGCUCAAAAUUUAGGUCAUCUAUGAUAGAAGAAGGAAGAGUAAACCUAAAAAGUAAAAAUAAGAUUUCAAUGCGCUUUAAAAAGUGACAACUCUUUUAGGGGAAAAAAGAAAAAAAAAGAAAAAAAAAAGAAAAACAUAUGAACUCUUCUGUAUUUUAUGUUCUGUAUGGACUGGGGAGAAUGGAGGGUGCCUUUGUUUGAUUUCAGGAGGCAAGCUGUGUUAUCUUCAUGUGACCAUGGUUUCUCACCCAUAUGCUUUCCUGGUCGUUUUCAUUUUCACACCUGCCUUGAGCUUUGAUCACUCAAAAUAUUCAUAGACUUGCCCUGGAAAAAUAAGAGACUGACCUUUUCCCAUCUGGAGUAGAUGGAUUUACUAUCAAUAAUUGUAAAUGGACCUGGAUGACUUAAUGGUUUUUAUGCUUAAAUUUUUUAAUUCUGUGAUUUCAUUUCAUUUUAAGGAUUCUGCCCACAAUCUUCCCUGAACUGAUAGAUCUCUAUGGUAUAACUUCAAGUUAUUUCUUGCAAAUUAUAUCUUAAUACUGGGCUCACAUCUGCAAUGUGCUGAUGAUCCCCCAUGAACUGCUGAGUUGUCAAAGAAUGCUCAGUUUGCACAGGAUCAGGCCUGGAGGUUGCAGUUGUCUUUUUUUUUAUUUCCCUUGUAGUUAUAUGCAAUGUCUUUCAUUGCAAAAAAAAAAACCUGAAAACAGUUUAUGAAAUCAGCAG